rnacentral:piRNA from 1 species
AAAGGUGGAAACCAAGCAUGCCCAAUCCCCA